rnacentral:ncRNA from 2 species
GGCCGGAUAAGGCGUUCACGCCGCAUCCGGCAAUCAACGCCUGAUGCGACGCUCGCGCGUCUUAUCAGGCC